rnacentral:rRNA from 1 species
UACGAGGGGGGCGAGCGUUGUUCGGAAUUACUGGGCGUAAAGGGUGCGUAGGCGGUUCGUUAGGUCUGUUGUGAAAUCCCCGGGCUCAACCCUGGGAUGCCGGUGGAAACUGUCGGGCUAGAGUCCGGGAGAGGCGAGUGGAAUUCCUGGUGUAGCGGUGAAAUGCGCAGAUAUCAGGAGGAACACCAAUGGCGAAGGCAGCUCGCUGGAACGGUACUGACGCUGAGACGCGAAAGCGUGGGGAGCAAACAGG